rnacentral:rRNA from 1 species
AUUGAACGCUGGCGGCAGGCCUAACACAUGCAAGUCGAGCGGAUGAAGGGAGCUUGCUCCUGGAUUCAGCGGCGGACGGGUGAGUAAUGCCUAGGAAUCUGCCUGGUAGUGGGGGAUAACGUCCGGAAACGGGCGCUAAUACCGUAUACGUCCUGAGGGAGAAAGUGGGGGAUCUUUGGACCUCACGCUAUCUGAUGAGCCUAGGUCGGAUUAGCUAGUUGGUGGGGUAAAGGCCUACCAAGGCGACGAUCCGUAACUGGUCUGAGAGGAUGAUCAGUCACACUGGAACUGAGACACGGUCCAGACUCCUACGGGAGGCAGCAGUGGGGAAUAUUGGACAAUGGGCGAAAGCCUGAUCCAGCCAUGCCGCGUGUGUGAAGAAGGUCUUCGGAUUGUAAAACACUUUUAGUUGGGAGGAAGGGCAGUAAGUUAAAACCUUGCUGUUUUGACGUUACCAACAGAAUAAGCACCGGCUAACUUCGUG